rnacentral:rRNA from 1 species
AUGCUUCUCCUAAAGACUAAGCCAUGCAUGCCCUGAAUAUGAGGAAGCAAUUCUCUCUGAAUCUGCGAACGGCUCCGCAAACCAGUUGUAAACCACAGCAAGCCCGCAAGGGUGGGCCUCGGCUCGCCUGCGCGAUACGGAUAACCCUGGUAAUUCUAAGGCUAAUACGUGUAUGGAACACCCGGUGGACCGGCCUUGUGCUGGGAAACCGGGAGGCGAGGGAUUGAAUGUUUGGAUUACCAGGAACGGGCG